GGAAAGCCAGCAGGACCCACUGUGACACAAGGAGAGAACUCAGGUCCCUGAAGGGGACCUGCCACCAGGGAACUCAGCCAUGCACAGCCACCUGCCCUCCCUGACGUGUGUAUAUCAAACAUUCGGCGUCCAUCAACAUCCACCAUUAGUCACUUGGAUCAGCAAGCUGUACCACGAAGACCCGAGGCGAGACGGUCUCGGCAGCUGACUCACCCCAAGUCGGACAUCCAGUUCUCAAGGCUGGAGACCCACGUGACAGCUACCAUCACACAGAAACCAACAGAACCUCAGAGGAAGCAGCACUGAGAAGCUGAGGCAGGAGGAUGGCCCCCAAACAAAAGAGAAAACAGAGGAAGGGUGAAACCCUUGCAAGUCAGGGGAAGUGGACAGGCCUCCUUCCUCUUCCUUCUGCUCCCAGCUGUGUGCUGGGGUCUCGGGGGUACAGCUGCCCCCACCCUUGCAGGAGCAACAGCAUGCUAUAGAGACCCUUGUACUCCUCUCUCCAGCGAUCAGACUGCUGAAACAAUAAAUAAAUACAAUUCCCCCAGGAAUCCCAUGCCGGGGCAAGGGAAUGGCUGAAACCCGGUGCCAGCAAGACUGGGAGCACAUCUGAGUUCUCAACCGGUCAGACGACCUUGUAGACAAGACUGAAUGGGCAUCCAGGAUGAUAACGAUGAUAGAUGGGCCACACCAUGACUGAUGGCUUAGCUGUGCGUCCAUCUUGUCUCUAUUUAAACAUCAAGUUCACAUCAGGACCCCAGAGAUGGAC